rnacentral:misc_RNA from 1 species
GAUGAAGAACGCAGCGAAAUGCGAUAAGUAAUGCGAAUUGCAGAAUCCGUGAGUCAUCGAAUCUUUGAACGCACAUUGCGCCCUAUGGUAUUCCGUAGGGCAUGCCUGUUCGAGCGUCAUUCAAACCUUCAAGCUCUGCUUGGUGUUGGGCGUCUGUCCUGCCUCACGGCGCGGACUCGCCUCAAAUCUAUUGGCGGCCGGCACGUUGGCUUCGAGCGCAGCAGAAACGCGAACUCGAGACCGGCGGAUCGGCUCCCAGAAGCUACCCCCAUGAAUUUGACCUCGGAUCAGGUAGGGAUACCCGCUGAACUUAAGCAUAUCAAUAAGCGGAGGA